rnacentral:tRNA from 1 species
AUGGCUCAGAAGUAAAGCACUGGACUUGUAAUCUACAGGUUUUGGGUUCGAAUCCCAAU